UACGUAGGGGGCGAGCGUUAUCCGGAAUUAUUGGGCGUAAAGAGUGCGUAGGUGGUUGUUUAAGCGUGGGGUGAAAGGCAAUGGCUUAACCAUUGUGAGCCUCGCGAACUGGGCGACUUGAGUGCAGGAGAGGAAAGCGGAAUUCCUAGUGUAGCGGUGAAAUGCGUAGAUAUUAGGAGGAACACCAGUGGCGAAGGCGGCUUUCUGAACUGUAACUGACACUGAGGCACGAAAGCGUGGGGAGCAAACAGGAUUAGAUACCCGGGUAGUCCCUGAG
rnacentral:rRNA from 1 species